rnacentral:lncRNA from 10 species
CUUCAGAGCUCUGGCAACAGACCACUGCCAUGUCACAAAUAGCUUCCCAGCUUGCGAGAGUGUCUGUAAGUUUUAAAACUCUACGUCUCCAGAUUCAGCAUGAGAAGGAGAAGUUCCUUGAAUCCUCUGGGCACUGGGGACAGCCAGUCCACCCACCCUGGGUAACAAAGGGAUGUGGUCAGUCCUCACGUGAGGAGGGACUGAGUGUCCUCCAUGGACCUGCGACGUCCCGUCUGUGAGGCCCUCGCUACUUUCUGCAAAUUUCUACAUGGAUCAGAGACAGGAGAAGCAGGCACACUGAUGGUUGUCUAGCACCACGUGCCAGUUUUUGGCAGUCGGGACCACCUCGACUUCCUGUCUCCAGGCAGGGUGGGGAGGGAAUGGUCCUUAUGCCCCAGGAGAGCCUCAAGGGCUGUGCACACCCUGCAAUGCAGGCACACCCCCUUCCACCCUCUGAAUGCUCUGCCACAAACAGCCACUGCGAGCGUAAUGAAGCCCCCAAAACAGGGAGCCCUGUGACUCACCACUGCUGCUUCAGGGACAGGGACAACUGCCAGAAUUCUUAGCUCUCUUUUACAGAUGGGGAAAUUGGGACUCAGAGAGGGAUGCGAUCUCUCCAAGCUCACACAGCCAAUCUGUGGCAGGGGAAUGAGAAAGUCUGGUCUGGUCUCCUCUCCCCAUGGCUGGGGCUCUCUCUGCAGUCCCGCCCUAUGCCCAGCCUGCACCCUCACCUGCCCCUGGCUCCUGGACUGGCAACUCAAGUCGUGACACGGACACGCUUUACCGAAUUUGCCUCCACACUUUGAGCGACUCAUUAGUAUAAAAAACACGUUCCUCACCACCCUUGCCAGAAGAUUCUUGACACAACACAGUUGGGGGGUUGGCACGCUCUCUCCGUUGUUAAGUAUUUAUAUAUAGUUAGUAUUGGAAUGGUCCCCGGACACCGAUCCAAGUCUCCCGUUUUCAGAUGGGGGGCACCAGGCUUAGGGUCAGGACCCCCCUGGAACAAUUCAGUAGCACAGCUGAGACAUAAAUCCACAGAGCCUGCCCUGAACUUUCCAGCUGCUCCUUGGCAAAUGGGCCAUGGGGAAAAAAAAUAAAUAAAGGCUGCCACUUACUAAGCAUUUGCUCUGUGCCAGGCACUUUGCAUAAAUCGGUGCUAAAUCUUAUCCUAAUUCUCUCAGGGAGGCAUUUUUAUCCCCAUUUUGCAGAUGAGCAAGCUGAGGCUCAGAGAGGGCAAGCCACCUGCCCAAGGUCACAGAGCCAGGGGCUGGAAAUGGCACACAUUUCUUCCCCCACGCCAGGGUUGGCAAAUGAUAGCCCAUAGGCAAAUUGAG